GGAGAGGUGGCUGAGUGGUCGAAGGCGGCGGUCUUGAAAACCGUUAGGCCCUUACGGGUCUCGUGGGUUCGAAUCCCACCCUCUCCGCCA
rnacentral:tRNA from 1 species